rnacentral:rRNA from 1 species
GAUGAACGCUGGCGGCGUGCUUAACACAUGCAAGUCGAACGGUGAAGGCGGAGCUUGCUCUGCUGGAUCAGUGGCGAACGGGUGAGUAACACGUGAGCAAUCUGCCCCUGACACUGGGAUAAGCGCUGGAAACGGCGUCUAAUACUGGAUACGAGCUGCGAAGGCAUCUUCAGCAGCUGGAAAGAAUUUCCGUCAGGGAUGAGCUCGCGGCCUAUCAGCUUGUUGGUGAGGUAAUGGCUCACCAAGGCGUCGACGGGUAGCCGGCCUGAGAGGGUGACCGGCCACACUGGGACUGAGACACGGCCCAGACUCCUACGGGAGGCAGCAGUGGGGAAUAUUGCACAAUGGGCGAAAGCCUGAUGCAGCAACGCCGCGUGAGGGACGACGGCCUUCGGGUUGUAAACCUCUUUUAGCAGGGAAGAAGCGAAAGUGACGGUACCUGCAGAAAAAGCGCCGGCUAACUACGUG